rnacentral:rRNA from 1 species
AAUGGUCGAAAGACUGACGCAGCGACGCCGCGUGCGGGAGGAAGCCCUUCGGGGUGUAAACCGCUGUUACUCGGGACGAACUUCCCGAUUUGUCGGGAUUGACGGUACCGGGGGAGGAAGCACCGGCUAACUCUGUGCCAGCAGCCGCGGUAAUACAGAGGGUGCGAGCGUUGUCCGGAAUCACUGGGCGUAAAGGGCGCGUAGGCGGCUUUUCACGCGUGCGGUGAAAGCUCGGGGCUUAACUCCGAGUCUGCCGUGCGAACGGGGAGGCUUGAGUCUGGUAGAGGUCGAUGGAAUUCCGGGUGUAGCGGUGGAAUGCGUAGAGAUCCGGAAGAACACCGGUGGCGAAGGCGGUCGACUGGGCCAGUACUGACGCUGAGGCGCGACAGCGUGGGGAGCAAACAGGAUUAGAUACCCUGGUAGUCCACGCCGUAAACGAUGGGCACUAGAUCCUUGGGGGAGCGACCCCUUGAGGGUCGGCGCUAACGCAUUAAGUGCCCCGCCUGGGGAGUACGGCCGCAAGGCUG